GUCCUGAGGGAGAAAGCAGGGGAUCGCAAGACCUUGCGCGAAUGGAGCGGCCGAUGCCGGAUUAGCUAGUUGGUAGGGUAAAGGCCUACCAAGGCGACGAUCCGUAGCUGGUCUGAGAGGAUGAUCAGCCACACUGGAACUGAGACACGGUCCAGACUCCUACGGGAGGCAGCAGUGGGGAAUUUUGGACAAUGGGGGAAACCCUGAUCCAGCCAUUCCGCGUGAGUGAAGAAGGCCUUCGGGUUGUAAAGCUCUUUCGGCAGGAACGAAACGGUGGGGGCUAAUACCCUCUACUAAUGACGGUACCUGAAGAAGAAGCACCGGCUAACUACGUGCCAGCAGCCGCGGUAAUACGUAGGGUGCGAGCGUUAAUCGGAAUUACUGGGCGUAAAGCGUGCGCAGGCGGUUAUGUAAGACAGGUGUGAAAUCCCCGGGCUUAACCUGGGAACUGCGCUUGUGACUGCAUAACUCGAGUGUGCAGAGGGGGGUGGAAUUCCACGUGUAGCAGUGAAAUGCGUAGAGAUGUGGAGGAACACCGAUGGCGAAGGCAGCCCCCUGGGUCAACACUGACGCUCAUGCACGAAAGCGUGGGUAGCAAAUAGGAUUAGAUACCCUGGUAGUCCACGCCCUAAACGAUGCGAACUAGGUGUUGGAGAAGGAGACUUCUUUAGUACCGCAGCUAACGCGUGAAGUUCGCCGCCUGGGGAGUACGGUCGCAAGAUUAAAACUCGAAGGAAUUGACGGGGACCCGCACAAGCGGUGGAUGAUGUGGAUUAAUUCGAUGCAACGCGAAAAACCUUACCUACCCUUGACAUGCCAGGAACUUGCCAGAGAUGGCUUGGUGCCCGAAAGGGAGCCUGGACACAGGUGCUGCAUGGCUGUCAGCUCGUGUCGUGAGAUGUUGGGUUAAGUCCCGCAACGAGCGCAACCCUUGUCAUUAGUUGCCAUCAUUUAGUUGGGCACUCUAAUGAGACUGCCGGUGACAACCCGGAGGAAGGUGGGGAUGACGUCAAGUCCUCAUGGCCCUUAUGGGUAGGGCUUCACACGUCAUACAAUGGUCGGUACAGAGGGUUGCCAAGCCGCGAGGUGGAGCCAAUCCCAGAAAGCCGAUCGUAGUCCGGAUCGGAGUCUGCAACUCGACUCCGUGAAGUCGGAAUCGCUAGUAAUCGUGGAUCAGCAUGUCACGGUGAAUACGUUCCCGGGUCUUGUACACACCGCCCGUCACACCAUGGGAGUGGGUUUCACCAGAAGUAGGUAGCCUAACCGCAAGGAGGGCGCUUACCACGGUGGGAUUCAUGACUGGGGUGAAGUCGUAACAAGGUA
rnacentral:rRNA from 1 species